GGGGCCGUAGUCUAGCCUGGCUAGGAUGCUCGGCUUGGGCCCGAGUGAUCCCGGGUUCAAAUCCCGGCGGCCCCACCA
rnacentral:tRNA from 5 species